rnacentral:lncRNA from 1 species
AACAAAGAAUCUUACCUUUAAGUGGGUCUAGGACCUCUGGGUGGUCGCGCUGAUCCCGGACGAGCCCCCAAAUGAAAGACCCCCCGAAGGGAGACCCUCACUCAAGCCUCGGGACAGCCGCGGACCCAAGAAGACACUGAGACCGAACUCAAAAUGUUGAAGGCAAGAUUUAAUAAAGCAACAGCAAAAAAGCACAUAGACCAGAGCUCUGGGGUCGAAACUCAUACACCUAGUGGUGUAGAGGAGAAUCAACGACGAGCCAAAUUUUUCACAGGCUUAUAUAGAAAAAACUCAAGGGGGGAGAGCGGGGCAGGGAAAGUACAAGUUUACAUAACUAAGGGGUUCUGCCAAGGGACAAGGGGUUCUGCCAAGGGAUUCUACGUAACUAAGGGGUCAUGUCCUAUUAUUUGGCAAUGUACCCGGUUCAUUCUGAGGUUGUUCCAGGAGGCCCUUAUCUCAAAAAUGUUCUUGGAACAGUCUUUAGUUGGAAGGGUUCGAACUCUAGGGUGAGGAGUUCAGGAAUGCAUUCUGGGGUGAAGAGUUCAGGAGUGUUCUGGGAACACUCUCUAGAUGGGAGGGGUCAGGCUCUGGGGUGAGGAAGAGUUCAGUAAUUUUUUAUUCUUCACUAUUUUCUCAGGU